CCUACGGGAGGCAGCAGUGGGGAAUAUUGGACAAUGGGCGAAAGCCUGAUCCAGCAAUGCCGCGUGUGUGAAGAAGGCCUUCGGGUUGUAAAGCACUUUAGGCCGGGAAGAAAAAGCUUCACCUAACACGUGGAGCCUUGACGGUACCGGCGGAAUAAGCACCGGCUAACUCUGUGCCAGCAGCCGCGGUAAUACAGAGGGUGCUAGCGUUAAUCGGAUUUACUGGGCGUAAAGCGUGUGUAGGCGGUUCGUUAAGUCGGGUGUGAAAUCCCUGGGCUCAACCUGGGAAUUGCAUUCGAUACUGGCGAGCUAGAGUACGGUAGAGGGCGGCGGAAUUCCGGGUGUAGCGGUGAAAUGCGUAGAUAUCCGGAGGAACACCGAUGGCGAAGGCAACCGCCUGGGCCUGUACUGACGCUGAGACACGAAAGCGUGGGGAGCAA
rnacentral:rRNA from 1 species